rnacentral:rRNA from 1 species
CCUACGGGUGGCAGCAGUGGGGAAUAUUGGACAAUGGGCGAAAGCCUGAUCCAGCCAUGCCGCGUGUAUGAAAAAGGCCUUCGGGUUGUAAAGCACUUUCAGUGGGGAAGAAAGCCUUGGGGCUAAUACCCUCGAGGAAGGACAUCACCCACAGAAGAAGCACCGGCUAACUCCGUGCCAGCAGCCGCGGUAAUACGGAGGGUGCGAGCGUUAAUCGGAAUUACUGGGCGUAAAGCGCGCGUAGGCGGUCUGAUAAGCCGGUUGUGAAAGCCCCGGGCUCAACCUGGGAACGGCAUCCGGAACUGUCAGGCUAGAGUGCAGGAGAGGAAGGUAGAAUUCCCGGUGUAGCGGUGAAAUGCGUAGAGAUCGGGAGGAAUACCAGUGGCGAAGGCGGCCUUCUGGACUGACACUGACGCUGAGGUGCGAAAGCGUGGGUAGCAAACAGGAUUAGAUACCCGGGUAGUC